rnacentral:rRNA from 1 species
CAUGGUAUGCACUGGCUCGCUGACUCCUCCUUCUUGUAGAACCGUAAUGCCAUUAAUUUGGUGUUGCGGGGAAACAGGACUGUUACUUUGAAAAAAUUAGAGUGUUUAAAGCAGGCCAACGCCUGAAUACAUUAGCAUGGAAUAAUGAAAUAGGACGUUCGAACCUAUUUUGUUGGUUUCUAGGAUUGACGUAAUGAUUAAUAGGGAUAGUUGGGGGCAUUAGUAUUCAAUUGUCAGAGGUGAAAUUCUUGGAUUUAUUGAAGACUGACUACUGCGAAAGCAUUUGCCAAGGAUGUUUUCAUUAAUCAAGAACGAAAGUUAGGGGAUCGAAGACGAUCAGAUACCGUCGUAGUCUUAACCAUAAACUAUGCCGACUAGGGAUCGGAUGAUGUUAAUUUUUUAAUGGCUCAUUCGGCGCCUUACG